UACAGAGGGUGCGAGCGUUGUCCGGAAUCACUGGGCGUAAAGGGCGCGUAGGCGGCUUGAUAAGCGUGCGGUGAAAGCCCGGGGCUCAACCCCGGGUCGGCCGUGCGAACUGUCGAGCUGGAGCACUGUAGAGGCAGGUGGAAUUCCGGGUGUAGCGGUGGAAUGCGUAGAGAUCCGGAAGAACACCGGUGGCGAAAGCGGCGCACUGGACCACAACUGACGCUGAGGCGCGAAAGCUAGGGGGAGCAAACAGG
rnacentral:rRNA from 1 species